rnacentral:piRNA from 1 species
UGAGACACCUUCUCUCUGUGCUACACAAG